GCGGCGGACGGGUGAGUAACACGUGGGUAACCUGCCCAUAAGACUGGGAUAACUCCGGGAAACCGGGGCUAAUACCGGAUAACAUUUUGCACCGCAUGGUGCGAAAUUCAAAGGCGGCUUCGGCUGUCACUUAUGGAUGGACCCGCGUCGCAUUAGCUAGUUGGUGAGGUAACGGCUCACCAAGGCAACGAUGCGUAGCCGACCUGAGAGGGUGAUCGGCCACACUGGGACUGAGACACGGCCCAGACUCCUACGGGAGGCAGCAGUAGGGAAUCUUCCGCAAUGGACGAAAGUCUGACGGAGCAACGCCGCGUGAGUGAUGAAGGCUUUCGGGUCGUAAAACUCUGUUGUUAGGGAAGAACAAGUGCUAGUUGAAUAAGCUGGCACCUUGACGGUACCUAACCAGAAAGCCACGGCUAACUACGUGCCAGCAGCCGCGGUAAUACGUAGGUGGCAAGCGUUAUCCGGAAUUAUUGGGCGUAAAGCGCGCGCAGGUGGUUUCUUAAGUCUGAUGUGAAAGCCCACGGCUCAACCGUGGAGGGUCAUUGGAAACUGGGAGACUUGAGUGCAGAAGAGGAAAGUGGAAUUCCAUGUGUAGCGGUGAAAUGCGUAGAGAUAUGGAGGAACACCAGUGGCGAAGGCGACUUUCUGGUCUGUAACUGACACUGAGGCGCGAAAGCGUGGGGGAGCAAACAGGAUUAGAUACCCUGGUAGUCCACGCCGUAAACGAUGAGUGCUAAGUGUUAGAGGGUUUC
rnacentral:rRNA from 1 species